rnacentral:rRNA from 1 species
CCUACGGGAGGCAGCAGUGGGGAAUAUUGCACAAUGGGGGAAACCCUGAUGCAGCGACGCCGCGUGAGUGAAGAAGUAAUUCGUUAUGUAAAGCUCUAUCAGCAGGGAAGAAAAUGACGGUACCUGAGUCAGAAGCCCCGGAUAACUACGUGCCAGCAGCCGCGGUAAUACGUAGGGGGCAAGCGUUAUCCGGAUUUACCGGGUGUAAAGGGAGCGUAGACGGCAGUGCAAGUCAGGAGUGAAAGGCGGGGGCCCAACCCCCGGACUGCACUGGAAACCGUUCGGCUGGAGUUCAGGAGAGGUAAGUGGAAUUCCUAGUGUAGCGGUGAAAUGCGUAGAUAUUAGGAGGAACACCAGUGGCGAAGGCGGCUUACUGGACUGUAACUGACGUUGAGGCUCGAAAGCGUGGGGAGCAAACAGGAUUAGAUACCCCAGUAGUC